AAAGAAUUAGUUAAAAAAAAAAUAACAUAAAUAUGUCAAAUUUAAAUUAUUACAAUAUUGUAAUAUUCUUUU
rnacentral:tRNA from 1 species